rnacentral:lncRNA from 1 species
AUCACAUUGCAAAGUUCCUUAAUCCUCCUCCAGCUCCUCCGCCCCGAGAUCCUCCUCGUCGGCCGCUGCAUCCUGAUACUGCUGGUACUCGGAGACCAGGUCGUUCAUGUUGCUCUCCGCCUCGGUGAACUCCAUCUCAUCCAUUCCUUCGCCUGUGUACCAAUGCAGGAAGGCCUUCCGCCGGAACAUGACGGUGAACUGCUCCGAGACACGUUUGAACAUCUCCUGGAUGGACGUGGAAUUCCCCAUGAAGGUGGCGGACAUGGUC